ACUCAAAGGAAUUGACGGGGGCCCGCACAAGCGGUGGAGCAUGUGGUUUAAUUCGAUGCAACGCGAAGAAUCUUACCUGGGCUUGACAUCCCGGAACAUCUGUAGAGAUAUGGACUUGCCCUUUCGGGGGAAUCCGGUGACAGGUGCUGCAUGGCUGUCGUCAGCUCGUGUCGUGAGAUGUUGGGUUAAGUCCCGCAACGAGCGCAACCCCCUAUUUCUAGUUACCAGCAAGUAAUGUUGGGGACUCUAGAGAGACUGCCAGUGUAAUAAACUGGAGGAAGGUGGGGACGACGUCAAGUCAUCAUGGUCCUUAUGUCCAGGGCUACACACGUGCUACAAUGGUCGGUACAGAGGGAAGCGAGACAGUGAUGUUUAGCCAAUCUCCGAAAGCCGAUCUCAGUUCGGAUUGGAGUCUGCAACUCGACUCCAUGAAGUUGGAAUCGCUAGUAAUCGCGUGUCAGCGUAACGCGGUGAAUACGUUCCCGGGCCUUGUACACACCGCCCGUCAAG
rnacentral:rRNA from 1 species